GGCGGCGUGCGGCGCGUGCGGCGCGUGCGGCGGCAGCGACGGGUGCGGCGGCGGCGCGGGCGCCACCAGCCCGCGCACGAAGUACGGCGGCAGCGCGUACUGCGCGCCCGGAUGCGGAGCGGGCGCACCGCCGUACUGAACUAAGAUUAUAUUACCUAUGAGGGCCAUGAUGUUCUCUGGCGCAAGAAGUUUGAGUGAAGAGGCUGGUACUAGAUGAGCCACCAGCUUUGAAAAGCACCGACUUUGCAAGUUCAAACAUAAAAUGUGCUGAGGCUUCCGAUGGUUGAUUCGGUACGGACGGAGGACACAACUCUGAUGCAUUGCUGGCCACAUGUCACUUCCAAUAAAAAGUGAACAUUAUUAUUACCAUGCUGGAUGAGAGAAUUGCCAAGACAUUUUAUUUUCAAAGUUACAAAUAUGCAACCUGUCAGUUUAGAUUACAAAUAUAGACAAAGAAAUGAAAAAUAGACGUAACAAAAUUUAAUAAAACUAACCGGCGGU